rnacentral:rRNA from 1 species
UACGGGGGGGGCAAGCGUUGUUCGGAAUUACUGGGCGUAAAGGGCUCGUAGGCGGCCAACUAAGUCCGACGUGAAAUCCCCAGGCUUAACCUGGGAACUGCGUCGGAUACUGGAUGGCUUGAAUCCGGGAGAGGGAUGCGGAAUUCCAGGUGUAGCGGUGAAAUGCGUAGAUAUCUGGAGGAACACCGGUGGCGAAGGCGGCAUCCUGGACCGGAAUUGACGCUGAGGAGCGAAAGCCAGGGGAGCAAACGGG